GUGCUCGCUUCGGUAGCACAUAUACUAAAAUUGGAACGAUACAGAGAUUAGCAUGGCCCCUGCGCAAGGAAAAACGAACUUUACAACUUU
ensembl:snRNA U6 U6 spliceosomal RNA